AUUGAACGCUGGCGGCAGGCCUAACACAUGCAAGUCGAACGAGUGGCGGACGGGUGAGUAAUGUCUGGGCACUUGCCUGAUGGAGGGGGAUAACUACUGGAAACGGUAGCUAAUACAGCAUACCAUCAGAUGUGCCCAGAUGGGUUUAGCGUGUUGGUGGGGGAACGGCUCACCAAGGCGACGCGCCCUAGCUGGUCUGAGAGGGUGACCAGCCACACUGGAACUGAGACACGGUCCAGACUCCUACGGGAGGCAGCAGUGGGGAAUAUUGCGCAAUGGGGGAAAGCCUGAUGCAGCAAUGCCGCGUGAGUGAAGAAGGCCUGCGGGUUGUAAAGUACUGUCAGCGGGGAGGCGUUACCUAAAGAGGAAGCACCGGCUAACUCCGUGCCAGCAGCCGCGGUAAUAC
rnacentral:rRNA from 1 species